rfam:Schistosoma mansoni, Puerto Rico, WGS project CABG01000000 data, contig: 0083
AUCCAACUGACGAGUCCCAAAUAGGACGAAACGUGCAUCCUGGAU